rnacentral:rRNA from 1 species
GUCGAACGGGAUCCAGUGGUAGCUUGCUAUCAUUGGUGAGAGUGGCGCACGGGUGCGUAACGCGUGAGCAACCUACCCAUAUCAGGGGGAUAGCCCGAAGAAAUUCGGAUUAACACCGCAUAAGACUAUAACCCGGCAUCGGGCAGUAGUUAAAUAUUUAUAGGAUAUGGAUGGGCUCGCGUGACAUUAGCUAGUUGGUGAGGUAACGGCUCACCAAGGCGACGAUGUCUAGGGGCUCUGAGAGGAGAAUCCCCCACACUGGUACUGAGACACGGACCAGACUCCUACGGGAGGCAGCAGUAAGGAAUAUUGGUCAAUGGACGCAAGUCUGAACCAGCCAUGCCGCGUGCAGGAUGACUGCCCUAUGGGUUGUAAACUGCUUUUGUUAGGGAAUAAACCCAUCUACGAGUAGAUGGCUGAAUGUACCUAAAGAAUAAGGAUCGGCUAACUCCGUGCCAGCAGCCGCGGUAAUACGGAGGAUCCGAGCGUUAUCCGGAUUUAUUGGGUUUAAAGGGUGCGUAGGCGGCACUUUAAGUCAGGGGUGAAAGACGGCAGCUUAACUGUCGCAGUGCCUUUGAUACUGAAGUGCUUGAAUGCGGUUGAAGACGGCGGAAUGAGACAAGUAGCGGUGAAAUGCAUAGAUAUGUCUCAGAACACCGAUUGCGAAGGCAGCUGUCUAAGCCGUUAUUGACGCUGAUGCACGAAAGCGUGGGGAUCGAACAGGAUUAGAUACCCUGGUAGUCCACGCCCUAAACGAUGAUAACUCGAUGUUUGCAAUAUACCGUAAGCGUCCAAGCGAAAGCGUUAAGUUAUCCACCUGGGGAGUACGCCCGCAAGGGUGAAACUCAAAGGAAUUGACGGGGGCCCGCACAAGCGGAGGAGCAUGUGGUUUAAUUCGAUGAUACGCGAGGAACCUUACCCGGGCUUGAAAGUUACUGAAGGAUGCAGAGACGCAUCCGUCCUUCGGGACAGGAAACUAGGUGCUGCAUGGCUGUCGUCAGCUCGUGCCGUGAGGUGUUGGGUUAAGUCCCGCAACGAGCGCAACCCCUAUGUUUAGUUGCCAGCAUUUAAGGUGGGGACUCUAAACAGACUGCCUG